rnacentral:rRNA from 1 species
GUUGAACGCUGGCGGCGUGCCUUAUACAUGCAAGUCGAGCGACCACACGAGGAACUUUCCUUUCUUACGUUCGCGUCGGACGGGUGAGUAUCUCGUGUCUAACCUUCCUAUAAGACUGGGAUUACUUCGGGAAACCGUUGCUAAAUCCGGAUUAUAUUUUGAACAGGAUGGUUCAAUACUUAAAUACGGUUUUGCUCUCUCUUAUCGACCGAUCUCCGCUGCAUUAGCUAGUUGGUUAGGUAACGGCUUACCAAGGCAACGAUGCGUAGCCGACCUGAGAGGGUGAUCGGCCACACUGGAACUGAGACACGGUCCAGACUCCUACGGGAGGCAGCAGUAGGGAAUCUUCCGCAAUGGGCGAAAGCUUGAAGGAGCAACGCCGCGUGAGUGAAGAAGGUCUUAGGAUCGUAAAACACUGUUAUUAGGGAAGAACAAAUGUGUAAGUAAAAAUGCAAGUCUUGACGGUACCUAAUCAGAAAGCAACGGCUAACUACGUG